UGAGAGCGGUCAUUAAGUAAAUGAGACAUCCCCUUUAGCAGGCUUAGGAGUUCACACACUGAGGGGGAGCAGAUAUUUAAUUGAAACCAACAAACAAUCUUGCUCGCAUGUGACUGGUGUAAGCGAAGUGGCUGCCCUCCAACUCCUCCCCCCACCUCCAUCCACCCAGCCCCCCAUGUAAAUUUCAUGAUUGCUUUCCGUGAUGUCAUUUUGAAAGGGGAAAGACAAUAGCUGUGGGGAAAGAAAAUGAGUUCCGGGGUGAGCUGCUGAGUCAAAGGUGGACCCACGGAGAAAAGAUCAGCAGCUGCGAGAGCACAAAAACCAUACCCGGCAAACUGAGCAAGAUGAGCUUAGAAAAUGAUGACAAGAGAGCUCGCACAAGAUCUAAGGCAAUACGAGUGCCCACGGAACUCAUAGGACAGGAGGUGAGGUAAGAGAUGUUCCUUGUUGACCAUCUACUUAUAUUCUGAGGAGGCUGAAGAACAAGCAUCAUUUCAAAUGGUUCUGGUUGCAUUGUUUUCUGCUCUUCUGGGGAAAUUUGGAAAAGUUAUUAACUAAAACAGAGUCACUGACCUAUUAAUCAA